UACGUAGGGGGCAAGCGUUGUCCGGAAUCAUUGGGCGUAAAGAGCGUGUAGGCGGCUGGGUAGGUCCGUUGUGAAAACUCGAGGCUCAACCUCGAGACGCCGAUGGAAACCAUCCAGCUAGAGUCCGGAAGAGGAGAGUGGAAUUCCUGGUGUAGCGGUGAAAUGCGCAGAUAUCAGGAAGAACACCCGUGGCUAAGGCGGCUCUCUAGUACGUGACUGACGCUGAGGAGCGAAAGCGUGGGGAGCGAACAGG
rnacentral:rRNA from 1 species